AUGGGGAAUGUACUGACCUGUUGUGUGUGCCCCAAGGACAGCCCUGAGUUUGACCAGCUGCAGGGGUCAGUGUGCCCCUCUAAGUCCGACAUCUAUGAGGCAGGAGCUGGGGACAGAAUGGCAGGAGCUGGGGACAGGAUGACAGGAGCUGGGAACAGGAUGGCAGGAGCUGGGGAUGGGAUGGCAGGGGCGCCUAUGGCUGCUGCUGUGCAGCCUGCUGAGGUGACUGUUGAAGUUGGUGAGGACCUCCACAUGUACCACAUCCAUGACCGGGAGAUGCCUGAAGCUUUGGAGUUUAACCCUUCUGCCAAUCCAGAGGCAAGCACAAUAUUCCAUGGGAACUGUCAAACAGAUGCUUUGGAGUUUAACCUUUCUGCCAGUGCAGAGGCAAGCACAAUAUUCCAGAGGAACUCUCAAACAGAUGGUGAGACAACGUUGUUUUUUCCACCAAGAGAAACAGUACAAACUCUUGUUUGAUCAGGUGUAUUAUAGGAAGUAUUUAGAAAAACUCGUAUUGGUUUAAAUUUUUCAACUUUUCACAUAUUCACUUGUCUUAUUUUAACAUGUGAUAUACUUUCCUUUAGUUAUCAUUUUAGUGAAAACAUGUAACUUUUUGUUUAUACAUUUUGCCAUCUUUUUAUCAACACAAUUAAUUUGUCAUGUGAUGGAGGAGUCAUGGAUUUCUCUUUAUUCAUAAUUCUUGGUCCCUUUUCCCUUGCUCCAAAGAGUACAUUUUAAAGCUGAAUGAUAGAACUUAGGCUUCAACUUGGUUUUCAUUUAAAUAAAUUAAAAAACAUAGUUGUUUAUCAUCGGGGAUUGAAUCUGUGAUUUGGGCCUCCUCUCACACAGUCCUCUGACCGCAUUCAUUUACCACAUCCAAGUUCAUGCUACUCAAAACUUUAAGCUAUUAACAUUUUCAUUUGAUGUAAUGUCAAUUUAAACAUGCCCUACUCCUGCUUAUUUUCCUUAAUGUUAUGCUAAAUCCUUAUUUAUUUGCUAAAAAACCAUACACAGCCAAGUUUUCCAGUUGACUUAAACAGCAAGAAUACAAGUGAAGGUUCUAUAAUAAUAUGUGAAGUAAUGCAACACAGUGAAACAUGGGAGUUUGUAACCUUUGUUUUUAUAGUUUGGGUAGACUUUGCCAAUUUUGAAUCAGUUAUUUCUGGUUAGAAUUUGUGUUCUUUUUUUACGUUACUGUAAAGAGAUACCUAAGGCUGGGUAAUUUAUAACAAAAAGAGGUUUAAUCGGCUCAUAGAUCUUCAGGCUGUACAAACAUGGCUUCAACAUCUGCUUCUGGUGAGGGCUGCAGCAAGCUUACAAUCAUGAUAGAAGGCAAAGGGGAAGCAAGUGGUUCCACAUGGUGAAAGUGGGAGGAGAGAGAGGAGAGGGAAGGUAGCACACUCUUUUUUUCUUUUCUUUUUUUUUUUUAUGGAGUCUCUCGCUGUUGCCCAGGCUGGAGUGCAAUGGCAUGAUCUCGGCUCACUACAACCUCCACCUCCCAGGUUCAAGCAAUCCUCCUGCCUUAGCCUCCUGAGUAGGUGGGACUAUAGGCGGGCGCCACAACACCUGGCUAAUUUUUGUAUUUUUGGUAGCGAUGGGGUUUCACCAUGUUGACCAGGCUGGUCUCAAACUCCUGACCUCAGGUAGUCUACCCACUUCAGCCUCCCAAAGUGCUGGAAUUACAGGCUUGAGCCACUGCACCUGGCUGGUACCACACUCUUUUAAGGUACCAUAAUGAGAAUUUGCUUAUUACCGUGGGAAUGGGACCAAU
ensembl:lincRNA